rnacentral:rRNA from 1 species
AACGUAGGACGCAAGCGUUAUCCGGAGUUACUGGGCGUAAAGCGCAGGCAGGCGGCUCGUCAAGUGGGAUGUGAAAGCGCUCAGCUUAACUGGGCGAUGCAUUCCAAACUGAUGGGCUGGAGGGCAGUAGAGGUAGGCGGAAUUCCAGGUGUAGCGGUGAAAUGCGUAGAUAUCUGGAGGAACACCGGUGGCGAAGGCGGCGUUCUGGACUGUCUCUGACACUGAAGAACGAAAGCCAGGGGAGCAAACGGG